GAUGAACGCUAGCGGCAGGCUUAAUACAUGCAAGUCGAGGGAAAAGUAGUUUUCGGACUAUGAAGACCGGCGCACGGGUGCGUAACGCGUACACAACAUGCCUAAUACUGGAGUAUAGUCUCGGGAAACUGGGGGUAAUCCUCCAUAAUAUUAUAGAAUCGCAUGAUUUUAUAAUUAAAGCUCAGGCGGUAUUAGAUUGGUGUGCGUAUGAUUAGCUUGUUGGUAGGGUAACGGCCUACCAAGGCAACGAUCAUUAGCUGGCGUGAGAGCGCGACCAGCCACACUGGAACUGAGACACGGUCCAGACUCCUACGGGAGGCAGCAGUAGGGAAUAUUGGACAAUGGGCGAAAGCCUGAUCCAGCCAUGCCGCGUGGUAGAUGAAGGCCCUCUGGGGUUGUAAAAUACCUUUUUAUCUGGGAAGAAAUAUCUCAUUCUUGAGAAACUGACGGUACCAGAUGAAUAAGCACCGGCUAACUCCGUGCCAGCAGCCGCGGUAAUC
rnacentral:rRNA from 1 species